CCCUAUUGCAAAAAUAAAAUUCAAUGGUGCAAAAUUUGUCUGUUGUAGUUGUAGUAGUAGAAAAACAAAAUUUAGCAAUUUUACACAUUUUUGCUGCACCGGAUCGUGAAUACCCCUUAUAUUUGGUUGUUUUGUUUAAGAAAAUUCUACACUUUUGCACUUUUACAACGAUACAAGACCAUUUGCAUCAAAUCGUGAAUACCCCGUAUACAGUGUAACACGGAUAUAAGAAAGUCUGAAAAUCCCAGACAAACUUCGGAUAUAAGAAAGAAAGUUUCUUAUAUAUUAAACACGCAUGAAAAAAAUUUCUUAUAUAAAAUUUUGAAAAUGAAGUCGGUCACAGAAUAUUUCUUUGCUGCCGGGUACAAAUGGGUUAGAUAAUGGAUUGGAUUGCUAUUGGAUUUUAGCCAGUUUUUUCGUUUGGUCCUAUCGCCUUAAAGGACUUUGCACAUGAGAGCGACCAACGAAUGAACGAAUGGACGAACAAACGAGAUUUAACACAUUUCUACGACUCAAUUUCAAACAAAAAAUGAUUCAAAUUAUAAGAAACCAAUUGAUACUAAUGUUAGAAUACUAAAAUUUGCAUUUUGUUUGCUAAAAUAAGAAAAAUUUGUAAAAACAAUUUGGUAGUUACGAAUUGCAGUUUGGUUGCUACGAAUUGUCAAACUCUAUUCGCGUUCCACAUACCAUCCACACUACAACUAAUAAAUUGUUCGCGCGCAACUUAACCUCAAAAUUACUCUUAACCUCAAAAUUACCCUGAACCCAAUUGACAAUUCGUCGCUGUCUGCGAAUUGUCAUGUGAAAGAUAUGUCAAAAUAUGCGACCAUCCACAGUUCGCAGUUCGUAGUUCGUAGUUCGUAGCUCAUGUGCAAAGUCCUUAAGAAAUAAUUCGGGCCAAAGGAUUUACAUAAAUCAGAAAGUUUUUAAAAUUGUGUGGGGUGAAAAAACGUCAACAAUGUUUCCUAAACAUUUUGCGAGCCUAUAAUAAAAAACAAGCAUUACUGAAGACAAAGAGGACCGUUUGGACCAAAACGCGUACUAAUAAAUUUUGGCAAGAAGACAUACCUAAAAACGACGACCAAUUUUUCAAAGAAAUCUUUCGAACUACAAGAAUACCGAAGCGUUGCAAAUCUUUUCGGAGUGGGAGAGUGCACCGUCGGCAACAUUUUACAUGAAUUCUGUGAGGAGGUUUGGAAGGUGCUACAUCCAAUCUAUUCAUCUGCAUACCCACUCACUGAAUAAAAGAAAACGUUGAGGGGUUUUCAAUGCUUCAGGGCUAUAGAUGGUUGUCACAUAGAGAUUCGACCUGCCGCUGAAAACGCAAUAGACUACUACAACUACAAGGGUUGGUAUUCAACCGUAUUACUAGCUGUUGUUGACUACAGAUACAGAUUUCUCUACAUCAGUGUUGGCAGUCCCGGGCGUUGUAACAACUCUUCAAUUUUCGAAAACUCAUCUUUGAAAGUGCACCACCAGGAUCCA